rnacentral:rRNA from 1 species
AUGGUCAACCUCGGAGCUAGUAGUGCGAAGAGAGAUUUAGGGUUGCGCGUGUGGCCGCACGCAACCAGACGAUCCGUCCGGAUCGAUUCCCGCUGCGCUGUUCUACAAAGUCGCCAAGACCAACAGGAAGAUUCCCUUUGCACCGUUGCAGGAAUCCACCGAAGGCGUCCCGUUUUCCGGAUCGGAAGUAAACGUCGCUGCAGCCGUGCACGGACAAUCAAGAAAAUACGGCCACUUCUUGCCAUCUACGGACAAAUAUGCAAGACCCCAAUUACUGCUGCUACUGAUACAUGUCAAAUCAGAAAGCUCUCCCAAAAGGAAUCAUCCAUAGUUUGCGACGUGCAGACCGGGUCAAAUCCAAGGAAACAACAUAUACUACUUCAACUAGCAUUGCAGGCGCACAAACUGACUAGGAUGGUACAUUGGAUAAUUUUGGACGGGCAGAGUCCAGGUAACGUUUCCAUCGAUUGGAUUAAAAAAAAAAGAAGGCCACGACUUGGAGGAAGACACAUCUGUUGUCCGGGCGAAUCCGGUGACAUCCCUCUAAGUAUUUUUUAG